rnacentral:rRNA from 1 species
UAGAGGAGAGUACCGUGAGGGAAAGGUGAAAAGAACCCUGAGCAAGGGAGUGAAAAAGAAUUUGAAACCGUGUGCUUACAAGCGGUAGGAGCGCGAAAGCGUGACUGCGUGGAUUUUGGUUAAUCAUCCUGCGAGUUAUGAUGUGUGGCGAGGUUAAGUAUAAGCGGAGCCGAAGGGAAACCGAGUCUUAAUAGGGCGACGAGUCGCAUGUCAUAGACGCGAAACCUAGUGAUCUAGGCCUGUCCAGGCUGAAGCUGAGGUAAGACUCAGUGGAGGGCCGAACUCACCGCCGUUGAAAAGUUGGGAGAUGAGGCAGGUCUAGGGGUGAAAAGCCAAUCGAACUAGGAGAUAGCUCGUUCUCUCCGAAAUGCAUUUAGGUGCAGCCUUAGUUGAAGAUAUGCGGGGGUAGAGCACUGUAUGGCCUAGGGGGCGUAUAGCUUACCGAAGUCAAGCAAACUGCGAAUACCGUAUAUUGUUAACUGGGAGUGAGUCUAUGGAUGACAAGGUCCGUGGACGAGAGGGGAACAGCCCAGACCGCCGGCUAAGGUCCCAAAUCAUGUCUAAGUGGGAAAGGAGGUGGAUAUUCACAGACAACCAGGAGGUUGGCUUAGAAGCAGCCAUACCUUGAAAGAGUGCGUAAUAGCUCACUGGUCGAGAGUAUCUGCGCCGAAGAUAUAACGGGGCUAAGACAUGAACCGAAGCCGCGGAAUUAGUUUAUACUAAUUGGUAGGAGAGCGUUCUGUAGGCCGUAGAAGGGGUGUUGUAAGACAUUCUGGAGGUAUCAGAAGUGAGAAUGCAGGAAUGAGUAGCGAGAAGGAGGGCGAGAAUCCCUCCGGCCGGAAGUCCAAGGUUUCCAGGGGAAGGUUUGUCCGCCCUGGGGGAGUCGGGACCUAAGCAUAAGCAGAGCUGCGAAGGCGAAUGGAAAACAGGUUAAUAUUCCUGUACCGCUGUGUACUGUCUGAGAGAUGGAGUGACGCAGGAAGGUAUGCGGGAAGGCUGACGGAAUAGCCUUUCUAAGGGUGAAGCGUGGACAUGCAGGCAAAUCCGCAUGUUUAUACGUGAGGCCUGAUGGGGAAGUGCCAUAUGGCAUAAGCCGCAGAUCCUACACUGCCGGGAAAAACUUCUAUUGAGGGAAACAGCGCCCGUACUGUAAACCGACACAGGUGGACAGAGUGAGAAACUUAAGGCCGACAGGAUAACUCUGGCUAAGGAACUCUGCAAAAUGGCCCCGUAACUUAGGGAGAAGGGGUACCCGUGAUACCUGAAGGGAGAGACACCUGAAGGGGAGACGGGUCGCAGUGAAGAGUCCCAAGCAACUGUUUACCAAAAACACAGGUCUAUGCUAAGCUGGAAGGCGACGUAUAUGGGCUGACACCUGCCCAGUGCCGGAAGGUUAAGAGGAGGAGUGAGAGCUCCGAUUUGAAGCCCCGGUGAACGGCGGCCGUAACUAUAACGGUCCUAAGGUAGCGAAAUUCCUUGUCGGGU